rnacentral:rRNA from 1 species
UGCCAGCCGCCGCGGUAAUACGGAGGGUGCAAGCGUUAUUCGGAUUUACUGGGCGUAAAGGGAGCGCAGGCUGCCAGAUAAGUCAGAUGUGAAAGCCCGGGGCUCAACCCCGGAAGUGCAUUUGAAACUGUUUGGCUUGAGUAUGGUAGAGGGAAGUGGAAUUCCAGGUGUAGCGGUGAAAUGCGUAGAUAUCUGGAGGAACACCGGUGGCGAAGGCGACUUCCUGGACCAAUACUGACGCUGAGGCUCGAAGGUGUGGGUAGCAAACAGGAUUAGAUA